rnacentral:rRNA from 1 species
UACAGAGGUGGCUAGCGUUGUUCGGAUUAAUUGGGUGUAAAGGGUGCGUAGGCGGUCUGGAAAGUCAGAUGUGAAAUCCUACAGCUUAACUGUAGAACUGCAUUUGAAACUUCCAGGCUAGAGUGUGGGAGAGGUGAAGGGAAUUCCCGGUGUAAGGGUGAAAUCUGCAGAGAUCGGGAAGAACACCUGUAGCGAAGGCGCUUCACUGGCCCACAACUGACGCUGAGUGCACGAAGGCGUGGGGAGCAAACGGG